rnacentral:rRNA from 2 species
AGAGUUUGAUCCUGGCUCAGGAUGAACGCCGGCGGUGUGCCUAAUACAUGCAAGUCGAACGCGUUGGCCCAAUUGAUUGACGGUGCUUGCACCUGAUUGAUUUUGGUCGCCAACGAGUGGCGGACGGGUGAGUAACACGUAGGUAACCUGCCCAGAAGCGGGGGACAACAUUUGGAAACAGAUGCUAAUACCGCAUAACAGCGUUGUUCGCAUGAACAACGCUUAAAAGAUGGCUUCUCGCUAUCACUUCUGGAUGGACCUGCGGUGCAUUAGCUUGUUGGUGGGGUAACGGCCUACCAAGGCGAUGAUGCAUAGCCGAGUUGAGAGACUGAUCGGCCACAAUGGGACUGAGACACGGCCCAUACUCCUACGGGAGGCAGCAGUAGGGAAUCUUCCACAAUGGGCGCAAGCCUGAUGGAGCAACACCGCGUGAGUGAAGAAGGGUUUCGGCUCGUAAAGCUCUGUUGUUAAAGAAGAACACGUAUGAGAGUAACUGUUCAUACGUUGACGGUAUUUAACCAGAAAGUCACGGCUAACUACGUGCCAGCAGCCGCGGUAAUACGUAGGUGGCAAGCGUUAUCCGGAUUUAUUGGGCGUAAAGAGAGUGCAGGCGGUUUUCUAAGUCUGAUGUGAAAGCCUUCGGCUUAACCGGAGAAGUGCAUCGGAAACUGGAUAACUUGAGUGCAGAAGAGGGUAGUGGAACUCCAUGUGUAGCGGUGGAAUGCGUAGAUAUAUGGAAGAACACCAGUGGCGAAGGCGGCUACCUGGUCUGCAACUGACGCUGAGACUCGAAAGCAUGGGUAGCGAACAGGAUUAGAUACCCUGGUAGUCCAUGCCGUAAACGAUGAGUGCUAGGUGUUGGAGGGUUUCCGCCCUUCAGUGCCGGAGCUAACGCAUUAAGCACUCCGCCUGGGGAGUACGACCGCAAGGUUGAAACUCAAAGGAAUUGACGGGGGCCCGCACAAGCGGUGGAGCAUGUGGUUUAAUUCGAAGCUACGCGAAGAACCUUACCAGGUCUUGACAUCUUGCGCCAACCCUAGAGAUAGGGCGUUUCCUUCGGGAACGCAAUGACAGGUGGUGCAUGGUCGUCGUCAGCUCGUGUCGUGAGAUGUUGGGUUAAGUCCCGCAACGAGCGCAACCCUUGUUACUAGUUGCCAGCAUUAAGUUGGGCACUCUAGUGAGACUGCCGGUGACAAACCGGAGGAAGGUGGGGACGACGUCAGAUCAUCAUGCCCCUUAUGACCUGGGCUACACACGUGCUACAAUGGACGGUACAACGAGUCGCGAACUCGCGAGGGCAAGCAAAUCUCUUAAAACCGUUCUCAGUUCGGACUGCAGGCUGCAACUCGCCUGCACGAAGUCGGAAUCGCUAGUAAUCGCGGAUCAGCAUGCCGCGGUGAAUACGUUCCCGGGCCUUGUACACACCGCCCGUCACACCAUGAGAGUUUGUAACACCCAAAGUCGGUGGGGUAACCUUUUAGGAGCCAGCCGCCUAAGGUGGGACAGAUGAUUAGGGUGAAGUCGUAACAAGGUAACC